UCCUCCUUAUGGGUUGGGUGGCUUCGGAGU
rnacentral:piRNA from 1 species